GGCUGGUCCGAGUGCAGUGGUGUUUACAACUAAUUGAUCACAACCAGUUACAGAUUUCUUUGUUCCUUCUCCACUCCCACUGCUUCACUUGACUAGCCUUU
rnacentral:Y_RNA from 1 species